AGAGUUUGAUUCUGGCUCAGAACGAACGCUGGCGGCAGGCUUAACACAUGCAAGUCGAACGAUAUAGUGGCAGACGGGUGAGUAACGCGUGGAAACGUGCCUUUCACUACGGAAUAGCUUUUGGAAACGAAAGGUAAUACCGUAUACGCCCUCCGGGGGAAAGAUUUAUCGGUGAAAGAUCGGUCCGCGUUAGAUUAGCUAGUUGGUGAGGUAACGGCUCACCAAGGCGACGAUCUAUAGCUGGUCUGAGAGGAUGAUCAGCCACACUGGGACUGAGACACGGCCCAGACUCCUACGGGAGGCAGCAGUGGGGAAUAUUGCACAAUGGGCGCAAGCCUGAUGCAGCCAUGCCGCGUGAAUGAUGAAGGCCUUAGGGUUGUAAAAUUCUUUCGCUAGGGAUGAUAAUGACAGUACCUAGUAAAGAAGCCCCGGCUAACUUCGUGCCAGCAGCCGCGGUAAUACGAAGGGGGCUAGCGUUGUUCGGAAUUACUGGGCGUAAAGCGCACGUAGGCGGACUUUUAAGUCAGAUGUGAAAUCCCGAGGCUCAACCUCGGAACUGCAUUUGAAACUGGGAGUCUAGAGAUCAGGAGAGGUUAGCGGAAUACCGAGUGUAGAGGUGAAAUUCGUAGAUAUUCGGUGGAACACCAGUGGCGAAGGCGGCUAACUGGACUGAUACUGACGCUGAGGUGCGAAAGUGUGGGGAGCAAACAGGAUUAGAUACCCUGGUAGUCCACACCGUAAACGAUGAGUGCUAGUUGUCUGCAGGCAUGCCUGUAGGUGACGCAGCUAACGCAUUAAGCACUCCGCCUGGGGAGUACGGCCGCAAGGUUAAAACUCAAAGAAAUUGACGGGGGCCCGCACAAGCGGUGGAGCAUGUGGUUUAAUUCGAAGCAACGCGCAGAACCUUACCUACGCUUGACAUGCCCGGACGAUUUCCAGAGAUGGAUCUCUCCCUUCGGGGCCGGUGCACAGGUGCUGCAUGGCUGUCGUCAGCUCGUGUCGUGAGAUGUUGGGUUAAGUCCCGCAACGAGCGCAACCCUCAUCCUUAGUUGCCAUCACGUUUGGGUGGGCACUCUAGGGAAACUGCCGGUGCUAAGCCGGAGGAAGGCGGGGAUGACGUCAAGUCCUCAUGGCCCUUACGCGUAGGGCUACACACGUGCUACAAUGGCAGUGACAAUGGGAUAAUCCCCAAAAGCUGUCUCAGUUCGGAUUGUCGGCUGCAACUCGCCGGCAUGAAGUUGGAAUCGCUAGUAAUCGUGGAUCAGCAUGCCACGGUGAAUACGUUCCCGGGCCUUGUACACACCGCCCGUCACACCAUGGGAGUUGGAUCUACCCGAAGAUUGUGAGCUAACUUCGGAGGCAGCAAGCCACGGUAGGUUCAGCGACUGGGGUGAAGUCGUAACAAGGUAGCCGUAGGGGAACCUGCGGCUG
rnacentral:rRNA from 1 species